rnacentral:rRNA from 1 species
CAGCCGCCACGGUAAUACAGAGGGUGCGAGCGUUAAUCGGAUUUACUGGGCGUAAAGCGUGCGUAGGCGGCUUCUUAAGUCGGAUGUGAAAUCCCUGAGCUUAACUUAGGAAUUGCAUUCGAUACUGGGAAGCUAGAGUAUGGGAGAGGAUGGUAGAAUUCCAGGUGUAGCGGUGAAAUGCGUAGAGAUCUGGAGGAAUACCGAUGGCGAAGGCAGCCAUCUGGCCUAAUACUGACGCUGAGGUACGAAAGCAUGGGGAGAAAACAGGAUUAGAUACCCCAGUAGUCCCUGUCUCUUAUAA